GUCUUAGCUUCUGCUGGACAUAUACUAAAAUUGGAACGAUUGAGAGAAGAUUAGCAUGGCCCUUUAAGUCACUAUAAAAAUCAAUAAAAAAAUAGCAUGGCCCCUGCGCAAGGAUGAGAAUCAAGGCAUAGCAACGCCUAAAUUUAUG